GCUAAUGCAAGAAUCAAUACUAAAGACUACAUUUACUCAACUCUCUCAGUGACUUGCAAUACAUAAAUCGAGUUUAUACACUUUUACAUAUACAUCUACGAGCACCGGUUGGUAAUUAUUGUACAAUCGGAUUACGAAUAAUCCGCCGGAUCCCGAACGUCAUCGUCCCGCGUCGUCGGGCUACUCCCACGCCCCUUUGAACCGCUCGUUUUAGACCGUCCACGUGUCUUAGCGUGUUGGACAUUCGCCCACGCAAGCGCGGGUGGGACCGGCAUCUGUUGGC
rnacentral:lncRNA from 1 species